GGUGUGUACUCAUAGCAGGGGCCCAAAAUGGCCCAUUUAUUAACAGCAUACCCAAAAGCAAUCUGGGGUUAGUCUUCAUAGCAGACAAAACACAUGUCUUUUGUGGUAUCAUGUCCUGUAUAU